rnacentral:rRNA from 1 species
AACGAACGCUGGCGGCACGCCUAACACAUGCAAGUCGAACGAGAUCUUCGGGUCUAGUGGCGCACGGGUGCGUAACGCGUGGGAAUCUGCCCUUUGGCUCGGAAUAACAGUUGGAAACGACUGCUAAUACCGGAUGAUGACGAAAGUCCAAAGAUUUAUCGCCAGAGGAUGAGCCCGCGUAGGAUUAGCUAGUUGGUGUGGUAAAGGCGCACCAAGGCGACGAUCCUUAGCUGGUCUGAGAGGAUGAUCAGCCACACUGGGACUGAGACACGGCCCAGACUCCUACGGGAGGCAGCAGUGGGGAAUAUUGGACAAUGGGCGAAAGCCUGAUCCAGCAAUGCCGCGUGAGUGAUGAAGGCCUUAGGGUUGUAAAGCUCUUUUACCCGGGAUGAUAAUGACAGUACCGGGAGAAUAAGCUCCGGCUAACUCCGUGCCAGCCGCCGCGGUAA